rnacentral:lncRNA from 1 species
UUUCACCUCUCUGGGAAAAUGUGGUCCCAAAUACAAAAACAAGUCAGUCCUGGAGAGCCAGAGUAAUUUUAGAAAUACUGUCACCUGGUGGUGGGUUAGAGUUAUAGCACUUGGCUUUUUCUCAUGUUGAUUGAAGUCCAUGUCAGGUGUUUAAUCUAAGAGAUUAAACAGCACAUGUUUAUUUAACACGAAUAGUUAAGAAGGAGAAACACACAAGCCCUUUCUGCCAUCCCAUGAGAUCUUAAGAUUCUGUGACUUAAGAUCAAUUCUCAUUCUGAGAUAUUCCAACCUGAUGUUCCCAGAUCCAUUGUCUGCCUUCCUCCAGUAUUCUUUCACAUGCAUUUGUAUCCAGCAAGAACUUGGUAAUGUUUUAGACUGAUUAAAGCAUCUCUCUGAUGCUACAAUGCCCUUUUCCACUGUGAAAGAAAAAAGAGUCUUUGAAAAAAAAACCCCACAGGCAAGAUGUUGUAUCCCCUAGAAACCCUCUGUAGAAAUGAUGUGACCCUAUCCAUAGUCUAAUGAGUCAGAUAAGGCCGAACUAAGGGACAGAAAGCACUUUUUUUGUCUCUUCCUCUAUCUUUUUCCAUUCUCCAAGAUAGGAACCAUGAGAAGCAUUAUAGGUCUAAAUAUAGGUACCAUAUGCAUUGCAAUUUAUUGAUUUGAAUAUCUUUUGCGAAGAGCACAGAGGCCUGUGCAGUAGUGGUAAUGAAUCACUUCAGCAACACAGUUGUAUAUUUAAAUCCUGCAGCAUCUGUUUGGCAACCAGAUAGCUGAUUUGAUCAUUGACAAUAUAGCAAAUUCAAACAUUUCAGCAUCCUAUCUCCUUCGAGGGUAAAGAGAUACACUUGAGAGUAUGGAGACCGAACUUGGUCUUUAUGCCAGAAGACUUGGCUAUGAUACUUACAGUCACUGUUGUUGGUUUUCUGAAAUGAACAUUGCACCUGUGUUGGCUUCAGAACCCUCGGUCUUCUAAGAAAUUGGUAAAUAUUUAUGUCUGAUACCAGCUUGGAUAUUUUGUGGUUUUAUAUGUUUCUGAUCAUGUAAGUUUGAAGGUGAACAGUCAUCUGUUCAAAACCAUUAAUUAAUAUUAGGGAUUUUGCCUGUUAUAGUACAUAAUUGCAGCCCUUUGUGAAAAUUUACUAGCUAAAAGUAAUUUAAACU